GCUGGGCGUGGUGGCUCAUGCCUGUAAUUCCAGCACUUCGGGAGGCUGAGAUGGGAGGAUUGCUUGAGCCCAGCAGUUCGAGGCUGCAGUGAGACUUGAUAAUGCCACUGCACUCCAGCCUGGGUGACAGAGUGAGACCCCAUCUCUU
ensembl:misc_RNA Metazoa_SRP Metazoan signal recognition particle RNA